AGAUUAAGUUAUUAAGGGCGCACGGUGGAUGCCUUGGCACUAGAAGCCGAUGAAGGACGUUACUAACGACGAUAUGCUUUGGGGAGCUGUAAGUAAGCUUUGAUCCAGAGAUUUCCGAAUGGGGAAACCCAGCAUGAGUUAUGUCAUGUUAUCGAUAUGUGAAUACAUAGCAUAUCAGAAGGCACACCCGGAGAACUGAAACAUCUUAGUACCCGGAGGAAGAGAAAGAAAAUUCGAUUCCCUUAGUAGCGGCGAGCGAAACGGGAAGAGCCCAAACCAACAAGCUUGCUUGUUGGGGUUGUAGGACACUCUAUACGGAGUUACAAAGGACGACAUUAGACGAAUCAUCUGGAAAGAUGAAUCAAAGAAGGUAAUAAUCCUGUAGUCGAAAAUGUUGUCUCUCUUGAGUGGAUCCUGAGUACGACGGAGCACGUGAAAUUCCGUCGGAAUCUGGGAGGACCAUCUCCUAAGGCUAAAUACUCUCUAGUGACCGAUAGUGAACCAGUACCGUGAGGGAAAGGUGAAAAGCACCCCGGAAGGGGAGUGAAAUAGAACCUGAAACCGUGUGCUUACAAGUAGUCAGAGCCCGUUAAUGGGUGAUGGCGUGCCUUUUGUAGAAUGAACCGGCGAGUUACGAUUUGAUGCAAGGUUAAGCAGUAAAUGUGGAGCCGUAGCGAAAGCGAGUCUGAAUAGGGCGUUUAGUAUUUGGUCGUAGACCCGAAACCAGGUGAUCUACCCUUGGUCAGGUUGAAGUUCAGGUAACACUGAAUGGAGGACCGAACCGACUUACGUUGAAAAGUGAGCGGAUGAACUGAGGGUAGCGGAGAAAUUCCAAUCGAACCUGGAGAUAGCUGGUUCUCUCCGAAAUAGCUUUAGGGCUAGCCUCAAGUGAUGAUUAUUGGAGGUAGAGCACUGUUUGGACGAGGGGCCCCUCUCGGGUUACCGAAUUCAGACAAACUCCGAAUGCCAAUUAAUUUAACUUGGGAGUCAGAACAUGGGUGAUAAGGUCCGUGUUCGAAAGGGAAACAGCCCAGACCACCAGCUAAGGUCCCAAAAUAUAUGUUAAGUGGAAAAGGAUGUGGCGUUGCCCAGACAACUAGGAUGUUGGCUUAGAAGCAGCCAUCAUUUAAAGAGUGCGUAAUAGCUCACUAGUCGAGUGACACUGCGCCGAAAAUGUACCGGGGCUAAACAUAUUACCGAAGCUGUGGAUUGUCCUUUGGACAAUGGUAGGAGAGCGUUCUAAGGGCGUUGAAGCAUGAUCGUAAGGACAUGUGGAGCGCUUAGAAGUGAGAAUGCCGGUGUGAGUAGCGAAAGACGGGUGAGAAUCCCGUCCACCGAUUGACUAAGGUUUCCAGAGGAAGGCUCGUCCGCUCUGGGUUAGUCGGGUCCUAAGCUGAGGCCGACAGGCGUAGGCGAUGGAUAACAGGUUGAUAUUCCUGUACCACCUAUAAUCGUUUUAAUCGAUGGGGGGACGCAGUAGGAUAGGCGAAGCGUGCGAUUGGAUUGCACGUCUAAGCAGUAAGGCUGAGUAUUAGGCAAAUCCGGUACUCGUUAAGGCUGAGCUGUGAUGGGGAGAAGACAUUGUGUCUUCGAGUCGUUGAUUUCACACUGCCGAGAAAAGCCUCUAGAUAGAAAAUAGGUGCCCGUACCGCAAACCGACACAGGUAGUCAAGAUGAGAAUUCUAAGGUGAGCGAGCGAACUCUCGUUAAGGAACUCGGCAAAAUGACCCCGUAACUUCGGGAGAAGGGGUGCUCUUUAGGGUUAACGCCCAGAAGAGCCGCAGUGAAUAGGCCCAAGCGACUGUUUAUCAAAAACACAGGUCUCUGCUAAACCGUAAGGUGAUGUAUAGGGGCUGACGCCUGCCCGGUGCUGGAAGGUUAAGAGGAGUGGUUAGCUUCUGCGAAGCUACGAAUCGAAGCCCCAGUAAACGGCGGCCGUAACUAUAACGGUCCUAAGGUAGCGAAAUUCCUUGUCGGGUAAGUUCCGACCCGCACGAAAGGCGUAACGAUUUGGGCACUGUCUCAACGAGAGACUCGGUGAAAUCAUAGUACCUGUGAAGAUGCAGGUUACCCGCGACAGGACGGAAAGACCCCGUGGAGCUUUACUGUAGCCUGAUAUUGAAAUUCGGCACAGCUUGUACAGGAUAGGUAGGAGCCUUUGAAACGUGAGCGCUAGCUUACGUGGAGGCGCUGGUGGGAUACUACCCUAGCUGUGUUGGCUUUCUAACCCGCACCACUUAUCGUGGUGGGAGACAGUGUCAGGCGGGCAGUUUGACUGGGGCGGUCGCCUCCUAAAA
rnacentral:rRNA from 1 species